UACAGAGGUCCCAAGCGUUGUUCGGAUUCACUGGGCGUAAAGAGCUCGUAGGUGGUUUGUCGCGUUGUUCGUGAAAACUCACAGCUCAACUGUGGGCGUGCGGGCGAUACGGGCAGACUGGAGUACUGCAGGGGAGACUGGAAUUCCUGGUGUAGCGGUGGAAUGCGCAGAUAUCAGGAGGAACACCGGUGGCGAAGGCGGGUCUCUGGGCAGUAACUGACGCUGAGGAGCGAAAGCGUGGGGAGCAAACAGG
rnacentral:rRNA from 1 species